UACGGGGGGUGCGAGCGUUGUCCGGAAUCACUGGGCGUAAAGGGCGCGUAGGUGGCCUGAUAAGGGUGUGGUGAAAGUCCGGGGCUCAACCCCGGAUCUGCCGUGCCGACUGUUGGGUUGGAGUACUGUAGGGGCAGGCGGAAUUCCGGGUGUAGCGGUGGAAUGCGUAGAGAUCCGGAGGAAGACCGGUGGCGAAGGCGGCCUGCUGGGCAGUUACUGACACUGAGGCGCGACAGCGUGGGGAGCAAACAGG
rnacentral:rRNA from 1 species